AGGAGUGUAGCUUAAUUGGUAGAGCACUGGUCUCCAAAACCAGAGGUUGUAGGUUCAAUCCCUAUCGCUCCUG
rnacentral:tRNA from 1 species